rnacentral:rRNA from 1 species
AGGGUUUGAUCCUGGCUCAGAACGAACGCUGGCGGCAUGCCUAACACAUGCAAGUCGUACGAGAAAGCCCCUUCGGGGGUGAGUAAAGUGGCGCACGGGUGCGUAACACGUAAACAACCUACCCUGUUGACCGGGACAACUUCGCGAAAGCGUAGCUAAUACCGGAUAAGCUCUAGAGAACGGACAGUUCUUUAGAGGAAAGUGGCCCUCUGAUCUACGGUCGCACUACAGGAUGGGUUUGCGGCCCAUCAGCUUGUUGGUGAGGUAAUGGCUCACCAAGGCUAUGACGGGUAGCUGGUCUGAGAGGACGAUCAGCCACACUGGGACUGAUACACGGCCCAGACUCCUACGGGAGGCAGCAGUGGGGAAUAUUGGACAAUGGGGGAAACCCUGAUCCAGCAAUGCCGCGUGAAGGAAGAAGGUUCUUGGAUUGUAAACUUCUGUCAUAGGGGAAGAAAUCCCGUCAUAAAAUAUAUGGCGGGUUUGACGGUACCCUAAGAGGAAGCACCGGCUAACUCCGUGCCAGCAGCCGCGGUAAGACGAAGGGCGCAAGCGUUAUCCGGAAUUACUGGGCGUAAAGGGCGUCUAGGCGGUCAGUCAAGUCAGUCGUGAAAGUCCUUGGCUAAACUGAGGAAAGUCGACCGAUACUGAUUGACUAGAGGGACGUAGAGGGAAGCGGAACUCUCGGAGUAGCGGUGAAAUGCGUAGAGACCGAGAGGUACCUCGAUGGUGAAGACAGCUUCCUGGGCGUCUCCUGACGCUGAAGCGCUAAGGCCAGGGGAGCGAAGGGGAUUAGAUACCCCCGUAGUCCUGGCUUCAAACUAUGUGGGCUUGGUGUCGGCUCCCGAUAGAGAGUCGUUGCCGGAGCUAACGUGUUAAGCCCACCGCCUGGGGAUUACGUCCGCAAGGAUGAAACUCAAGGGAAUUGACGGGGGCCCACACAACCGGUGGAGCACGUGGUUUAAUUCGAUGAUAAGCGAAGAACCUUACCAGGGCUUGACCUAGCGGUAGUAGGACCCUGAAAAGGGAACGACCUCAAGCUUUGCUUGAGGAGCCGUGGCAGGUAUUGCAUGGCUGUCGUCAGCUCGUGUCGUGGGACGUUGGGUUAAGUCCCGUAACGAGCGCAACCCCUACCCUUAAUUGCCAGCGGGUAAUGCCGGGGACUAUAAGGGGACUGCCGGAGAAUAUCCGGAGGAAGGAGGGGAUGACGUCAAGUCAUUAUGAUCCUUAUGCUCUGGGCUACACACGUGCUACAAUGGGCACUACAGUGAGGAGCAAAUUCGCAAGGAUGAGCAAAUCUCAAAAAGGUGCCCUCAGUGCGGAUUGGGGUCUGUAACUCGACCCCAUGAAGAUGGAAUCGGUAGUAAUCGCGGGUCAGCAAUACCGCGGUGAAUAUGUACUUGGGCCUUGUACACACCGCCCGUCACACCAACCGAGUAGGCAACACCCGAAGUCGACGUUAUGUUGCCCAAGGUGUUACCUGCAAGGGGGGUGAAGUCGUAACAAGGUAGCCG